GCGGCGGCGGCGGCGGCGGCGGCGGCGGCGAUAGGGGGCGGAGAGGCAGGAGCGCGGCGGGACGCGGCCUGGACCGCGCGUACUUUGGGCGGUGGGAUUCUCUCCGCGUCGGUGGUAGUAGGAGCUGCCGCUACAGCAGCAGGUUUGUGUGAGAUCAGUCAUUGACACCAUGAACUGGAAUAAAGGUGGCCCUGGCACUAAGAGGGGAUUUGGCUUUGGAGGUUUUGCCAUUAGUGCUGGAAAGAAGGAGGAACCCAAACUCCCACAACAGUCCCACAGUGCCUUUGGGGCGACCAGCUCUUCUUCUGGAUUUGGAAAGUCGGCUCCACCACAGCUCCCUUCUUUCUACAAAAUUGGAUCUAAACGGGCCAAUUUUGAUGAAGAAAAUGCAUAUUUUGAAGAUG